rnacentral:rRNA from 1 species
CAGCAGCCGCGGGAAUACGUAGGGUGCGAGCGUUAAUCGGAAUUACUGGGCGUAAAGCGUGCGCAGGCGGUUCGGAAAGAGAGAUGUGAAAUCCCAGGGCUUAACCUUGGAACUGCAUUUUUAACUACCGGACUAGAGUGUGUCAGAGGGAGGUGGAAUUCCGCGUGUAGCAGUGAAAUGCGUAGAGAUGCGGAGGAACACCGAUGGCGAAGGCAGCCUCCUGGGAUAACACUGACGCUCAUGCACGAAAGCGUGGGGAGCAAACAGGAUUAGAUACCCGAGUAGUCCCUGUCUCUUAUAA